rnacentral:lncRNA from 1 species
UUUUUUAACUAGGGUUUUUAGAUUCGGCUAAAAGACGGUUUUAGCUUUUUUUACAUUUUAAUUAAGAAAAACUAAGAACUGUCUGUUAAAUAAGAGAUAUAAAAACCGUUUCUUACAUGAAAAAUGUAAAAAAAAGAAAAAAAAUAUCAAAUCAUGAGUUAAAAACUCCGGCUAAGAGAUAUGGAUUAAUCAUGCCCUUGGAUCAAAAUUAGAAGUCCCGUAUAUGCAUGAAAGAAAAAGUAUAUGCAAAAUGAAGUUGACAAAAAUAAGGAGGGAUCAAAUCAUUUGAUUUGACCACGAUGGCUAAACACGUUAGAUAUAGUUGGGCAAUCGCUACAACUAAGCAGCCG